rnacentral:rRNA from 1 species
AACUCAAAUGAAUUGACGGGGGCCUGCACAAGCGGUGGAGCAUGUGGUUUAAUUGAAGCAACGCGCAGAACCUUACCAGCGUUUGACAUGUCCGGACGAUUUCCAGAGAUGGAUUUCUUCCCUUCGGGGACUGGAACACAGGUGCUGCAUGGCUGUCGUCAGCUCGUGUCGUGAGAUGUUGGGUUAAGUCCCGCAACGAGCGCAGCCCUCGUCCUUAGUUGCCAUCAUUCAGUUGGGCACUCUAAGGAAACCGCCGGUGAUAAGCCGGAGGAAGGUGGGGAUGACGUCAAGUCCUCAUGGCCCUUACGCGCUGGGCUACACACGUGCUACAAUGGCGGUGACAGUGGGCAGCAAUCCCGCAAGGGUGAGCUAAUCUCCAAAAGCCGUCUCAGUUCGGAUUGUUCUCUGCAACUCGAGAGCAUGAAGGCGGAAUCGCUAGUAAUCGCGGAUCAGCAUGCCGCGGUGAAUACGUUCCCAGGCCUUGUACACACCGCCCGUCACACCAUGGGAGUUGGAUUCACCCGAAGGCAGUGCGCUAACCGCAAGGAGGCAGCUGACCACGGUGGGUUCAGCGACUGGGGUGAAGUCGUAACAAGGUAG